CGCAUCUGUGCAUGCAGCAUAUCAAUAAGCGGAGGAAAAGAAACUAACAAGGAUUCCCCUAGUAACGGCGAGUGAAGCGGGAAGAGCUCAAAUUUGAAAUCUUAAAGGGUUUCCCUUUACGAAUUGUAGUUUAAAGAAGUGUUUUCUGUUGAGGUUUUGGUAAAAGUUCUUUGGAAUAGGACAUCAUAGAGGGUGAGAAUCCCGUAUUUGACCUUUACUUUCAACUUUGUGAUACACUUUCAAAGAGUCGGAUUGUUUGGGAAUGCAGUCCAAAAUGGGUGGUAAAUUUCAUCUAAAGCUAAAUAUUGGCGAGAGACCGAUAGCGAACAAGUACCGUGAGGGAAAGAUGAAAAGAACUUUGAAAAGAGAGUUAAACAGUACGUGAAAUUGUCAAAGGGGAAGCGUUUGACACCAGUGUUGUUUUUCUGAAAAUCAAUUAAAGAACUGUUUAUGCUAAGUUGUUUAGACUUUAUCAGCUAACUGUUUAGUUUUGAGCUUUUCUUCAAUGCACUUUUCAGUUAACAAGUCAACAUCAAUUUCUUUUGCUGUAAAAAAGCUUGAGGAAGGUGGCUUGAGAUUCGUCUUAAGUGUUUAUAGCCUCUCGCCUAUGCAGUCGGAGAGAUUGAGGUCUGCAGCGUAGAUCCUUCGGGGCUAAAUGCAUUUGUGCUAAGUUAUAGCAUUUUAUAGACAACUUGUUGACUAUGAUUUGUCUUGUAGCUUACUCGCUUAUGUUAUUUUACCUACGCUUAGGAUGUUACAGCAGUAUAGACUGU
rnacentral:rRNA from 1 species